rnacentral:tmRNA from 1 species
GGGGAUGUAAAGGUUUCGACGGGGGUAUAGAACCCUCAUAAGCGGGCCGCAGUCGCCAAGUCUGCGUUAAAAAUGGCAACUUAAAUUUAAACGCUAAAGAUAAUAGCAAUUUAGCACUGGCUGCUUAGUUCAGCCUGCUUGUCAUCUCCGGUUCACCUGCAGGCCGGAAUCAUGGCAUCGACUCAUGCAGGAAAACUUAUCUGAACGUCCCUGAUCAGAUAAGGAACUAAGGGAUAGCGAAAUCGCCAGUCUGCUGACGGACGGACGAUCGGGCGAAACCUAAACCAUCAGCUGCGCCCGGAGAAAGUGAGGCGGAAAUGUUUUCGGACAGGAGUUCGACUCUCCUCAUCUCCACCA